GGUGGGGUAAUGGCCCACCAAGCCGAAGAUCGGUACGGGCUGUGAGAGCAGGAGCCCGGAGAUGGACACUGAGACACGGGUCCAGGCCCUACGGGGCGCAGCAGGCGCGAAACCUUCACAAUGCUCGAAAGAGUGAUGAGGGUACUCCGAGUGUCUAUGCAUUGCAUAGUCUUUUCUUUAGCGUAAACAGUUAGGGGAAUAAGGGCUGGGCAAGACCGGUGCCAGCCGCCGCGGUAACACCGGCAGCCCUAGUGGUGACCGUUUUUAUUGGGCCUAAAGCGUUCGUAGCCGGAUAGGCAAGUCUUUGGGUAAAUCCUACGUCUUAAGCGUGGGACUUCUAAAGAUACUACCUGUCUUGAGGCCGGGAGAGGCUAGAGGUACUCCUGGGGUAGGGGUAAAAUCCUAUAAUCCUAGGGGGACCACCGAUGGCGAAGGCAUCUAGCUGGAACGGGCCUGACGGUGAGGAACGAAACCCAGGGGAGCGAGCCGGAUUAGAUACCCGGGUAGUCCUGGGCGUAAAUGAUGUGGGCUUGGUGUGAGGAUAUCGACGAGGUAUUCUUGUGCCGUAGGGAAGCCGUUAAGCCCACCGCCUGGGGAGUACGGUCGCAAGGCUGAAACUUAAAGGAAUUGGCGGGGGAGCACUACAAGGGGUGGAGGCUGCGGUUUAAUUGGAUUCAACGCCGGAAACCUUA
rnacentral:rRNA from 1 species